rnacentral:rRNA from 1 species
AGCGAACGAGGUCUCCGUAGAGAGCUCGUGGAAUGAACGGCGGACGGGUGAGUAAGACGGGGGCAACCUGCCUGUAACAUCGGGAUAACUCCGGUAAACCGGGGCUAAUACCGGGUAAUACUUUCUUUCGCAUGAAGGAAUGUUGAAAGAUGGCUUCUCGCUAUCACUUACAGAUGGGCCCGCGGCGCAUUAGCUAGUUGGUGAGGUAACGGCUCACCAAGGCGACGAUGCGUAGCCGACCUGAGAGGGUGAUCGGCCACACUGGGACUGAGACACGGCCCAGACUCCUACGGGAGGCUGCAGUAGGGAAUCUUCCGCAAUGGACGAAAGUCUGACGGAGCAACGCCGCGUGAACGAUGAAGGUCUUCGGAUCGUAAGGUUCUGUUGUUAGGGAAGAACAAGUACCGUGCGAAUAGAGCGGUACCUUGACGGUACCUAACGAGGAAGCCCCGGCUAACUACGUGCCAGCAGCCGCGGUAAUACGUAUGGGGCAAGCGUUGUCCGGAAUUAUUGGGCGUAAAGUGCGCGCAGGCGGUUCCUUAAGUCUGAUGUGAAAGCCCACGGCUCAACCGUGGAGGGUCAUUGGAAACUGGGGAACUUGA